AGAGUAUAGCUCAGUGGUAGAGCACAUACUUGGCAUGCAUGAGGUCCUGGGUUUAAUCCCCAGUACCUCUG
rnacentral:tRNA from 1 species